GCCUUUCAUAAAACACCAGAACUUCCCAGGAUGAGACCCUUGACAAAUAAUCAAUCUUAACUAAAAUCUUAAUUUCCCGAGUUCAGCAGCUGUUCUUCAGUUCAAGUUAGCUGCAUUAGAUAUAUGCAGUGUAGGCUAGAUUACUGAAGUGCUUUAUAUUAAGAACUAUACCCGCUGUAUUGUUAUACAAGUGAAUGCAAACAUGUUUUGAUGUGUGGGUCUCCGCUGUAAUCACACGAGUUAUUUUUCAGUAUCUGUGGUUUACAGUUAGCUCAAAGAUCAUCCAGCACAAAAUAUGUUUUACUGCAAUUAAGACAAUUAAAACAAGUGGGUGAUAAAUACUUCAUUAUACUAGCUCGAUUUACAAGAAGAACAUGUACGUGAAAGUGAAACUAAGUAAUCACACAGCUAGAAUAUAGCACGGCACAGACUUCGGCGAGACUCCAGAAUACAGGAAGUAUUUUAGCCUUUGAAACGGUGAAAACGAGAAGAAACGAAAGACUUGAAAUAUCUAAGGUUUGAUCUAAGCUCAAAGCUAAGGAAGAUCAAAGCCCUAGAAAUGGCUGUGCCUGACAUGCUGAUGUACUGGGCUAUUGGAAUAGCUGCAAUCCAAGCGGUCUACAGCAAAGAGAAAUUUAUUAAAGUGGAGUGUGAUCCUGAAAGCCAGGGGGUAUAUAGCCAGGACGCAGUGCUGAAUUGCAAAGUGGUGACCGUCAAGAAAGACAUCCAAAUUCUCAAAAUGAUUUGGUGCAAAGUGGAGGCUGACAAAUGUGUUGACAAAACAAUGCUGACGUUUGAAAAUGGGAAAUGGUCAGCUAAAGAUGCACGUUUCACUAGUGCCACACUGAAGUUGAAUGAGAAACUGCUGAGUGUAUCGCUGCUGGUGCGGAGAACCCAGGUGUCUGAUCAAGGGAGCUAUCGAUUCAUCAUAAGCACUGACAUUGGCCUUGACAGAGGAAACACCAUCCUUAGGGUUAC